rnacentral:rRNA from 1 species
UACGUAGGGGGCGAGCGUUGUCCGGAUUUAUUGGGCGUAAAGAGCUCGUAGGCGGUUCGGUAAGUCGGAUGUGAAAUCUCCACGCUCAACGUGGAGGGGCCAUUCGAUACUGCCGUGACUCGAGUCCGGUAGGGGAGUGUGGAAUUCCAGGUGUAGCGGUGAAAUGCGUAGAUAUCUGGAGGAAUACCGGUGGCGAAGGCGGCAUCCUGGACCGGCAUUGACGCUGAUGAGCGAAAGCUAGGGGAGCAAACGGG